rnacentral:misc_RNA from 1 species
GGCAUUUGUUGCAGCAGGGUGCUCCAAAAUAGCAUCAAGCAAGUGGUGCUGCUGGUGAAAAUUAAUUUUAAGUUACCAGCUGUCCCUUGUGAGCACAAUCUCAGAUAAUACCCCCACAAACAUUUAUUUUGAUUCCAUUUCAUCUUGUAUUAGAAAAGGGCAGUGGAUGCAUUUUCUUUCCGCAGGUGUCCUUAACAGAGGCUAAGGUUAGUGCCUAAUUGGAAAUUCUGGGGCUAAAAUUUUCUUCUCUUUCCCAUUAUAUGUUAGAUGCUCCAUCCAAGUGCG